ensembl:lncRNA
GUGCUCCUCAAACCUCCACUAUGUUCCCCAGCUCACAUUCCUGUAACGAGGUUAAACACAGUGAUGCAUUUCAAACAGUUCCAGAUUAGACCACGAUAAAACGUACAUGAACUCUGCACCAUUAGUGUUACCAGGUAUAGGGGCAGAGAUUCAGAAGACAUGUGAUGAAACCUGAUGCUGAUUACAACAAAUGGAUUUACACUGAAGAUCAGCUGGAAUAAUUUGGCCCCUAAAAACAGAGACAGGGCGUUGGUUUUUGUUACCUGACAUAAUGACAUCAAUGAGACCAAGCAUCAUUUCACCACUGAUGUGUUCUUCCUGAGUGAACAGAGCUACUGUGAAUAGGCUCAACCAAUCUGAAAUGAAGACUACAUGAGAGUGCUAACCAUAAUCAAGAAGAUGGGGAUGCCAGAACAAGUUCUACCUGGCAGCUGUGCUCCUUUUGAAGUGCAGUACACAUCAGCUAAGCAGAAAGAGGAAAUUUUGAAAAGCCAACAAAAGGAUUUCCAGUGGCAGGCAGCCAGCAAGGAAACCUGAUCUCGAUUCUAAACACUGCUCUCCUGGCUCCGUUCAUCCCUUGGCAGGAAGGAAGGCAGGAGCAAACAUCUUGGACAACAGGGCUGCACAACAUGUCAGUGUGCUUGAGAUCAUUUCUGCAUUUUGCACCUAAAAGACAACACACUGCUAACAACUUUCUCAGCAGGCAACAGGAGCAGGGAGGGGAAGGAAACUGCAGCAGGCACUCCUGAGGGACUGAAGAGCAAUGACGGCUUCUAUCUGAAGAAUGCUGAGAAAAUCUAAAAAGUUAUUUUAAAGCUUCUGAAGAAUUAAUAGAACGAUGUCCGUAAACGUCCUCUCAGAAAUAUCAGAAUCCAGGGUGGGGUUUUACAGAAGUUGGAGAGGUACGAGAACUGAGGCUGAUGGCUGACUACAAUGAUUUUUUUUCCUAUAUUUCAUUGAAUCACAGAAUGGCCUGAGUUAAAAAGGAUUUCAAAGACCAUCUAGUUUCAAGCCCCCUGCUUUGGGCAUGGCCACCAACCACCAGACAGGGAGCACAUUUGCCCCUUGUUUUCACACUGGGAGUUGCAUAUUUGUAACUGAGGGAAGAACUGAGUGCAGUGUUAACAACGUUAGGUAAAUAAUGUUGCUAUUAGAUUUUUAGAACCUGUUCUUUCUUUUUUUUUUUUUUAACGUGUUAUGUAAUCACUCCUCUAAUGAGCGUUCGGCCAAUAAAGGUGAAACAAGUUGCUAA